AAAAGUCCAAGUCUAGCUGAUAUGGAGUUUACCUUCCCGUAACACACUUUUCUGUAUCAAUAACGUACAUGAUAAAUAGAUAUGGCCAGCCACACAUGACUUAGUUUCUCUGUUAAGCUCCUGGUAUGAUACUUCCAUUUCAAAGAGAAGACUGGAGAUUUACCACUAUGAAGGGAAACAGAGGAAGGUGAUGGCAUAGGUCAGGGAUGGGCAAACUUCCAUUGUGAAGGGCCAGAUAGUAAAUAUUUUAAGUCUUGGGUCAUUUGGGGGCAUCCAGGCUCUGAAGGAGGGAGUGAAUUUGCUCUUUGUUUGACUUUUUGUUCCAUUCAGGACCUCAGCUGAUUGGAUGAUGCCCACCAUAUUGGGGGAGGAUCUUCCUCACCCAGUCUACCAACUGCCAUGCCAAUUUCCUCCAGAAACACCCUCACAGACACACCUGAGUAGCCGAAUCAUUCUAAUUGAAAGCUAAACCACCUGGAUUUUCCUUACAGCAGAAGAGGAACAAGACAUUGGUGUGCAAGUGGCAAAAAGAGUCCUGUCCCAGCACUGCAAGGGGAAGAUAAAGGCUCGUCAUCUGUGCGUGCGUCCAUCUGAGUGGAACGUGUGUCCCGGGGGCUGCUGCCACCGCGCCGGUCCCUCCUGUAAUCCGAGCCCGUGUCAGAGGACGCGGCGCCUGCAAGGAAGAAGGGUUGCCGCAGGUGUGGCCAGAUCCUCUAGGCAAGAGGUGUGGAUUCAGGUCCUACUAGUCUUACUCCUGAUGAAGCUGGGCAAAUCAGUUGGCUCUGGAGUAAUUAGUAGCCCCUUCCUCACUGACCAUUGCAAGGUGAUCUUCUCAACAUAUACCUCAGUUAACAUUGUGCGGAUGGCUGCCUUCUCCUCUCCUGGAAAUAUGCAAAUUGACAACACAUUUGUAGGUCUCACUGGUUUGUAUCAGAGUUGGCGUAGAG
rnacentral:lncRNA from 10 species